GUACACGCUGUGACUAGCAUAUCAAUAAGCGGAGGAAAAGAAACUAACAAGGAUUCCCCUAGUAACGGCGAGUGAAGCGGGAAGAGCUCAAAUUUGAAAUCUUAAAGGGUUUCCCUUUACGAAUUGUAGUUUAAAGAAGUGUUUUCUGUUGAGGUUUUGGUAAAAGUUCUUUGGAAUAGGACACCAUAGAGGGUGAGAAUCCCGUAUUUGACCUUUACUUUCAACUUUGUGAUACACUUUCAAAGAGUCGGAUUGUUUGGGAAUGCAGUCCAAAAUGGGUGGUAAAUUUCAUCUAAAGCUAAAUAUUGGCGAGAGACCGAUAGCGAACAAGUACCGUGAGGGAAAGAUGAAAAGAACUUUGAAAAGAGAGUUAAACAGUACGUGAAAUUGUCAAAAGGGAAGCGUUUGACACCAGUGUUGUUUUCUCGAAAAUCAAUUAAAAAAAGUUGGAUUUUGUGUUGUAUUGACCUUAACAGCUUGCUUCACUCUUUUCCUGCUUUUUUUAAUGCACUCUUCGUUUAACAAGUCAACAUCAGUUUCUUCUGUUGUAAAAGGGUCAUUGGAAGGUGGCUUUCUCUUCGGAGAAAGUGUUUAUAGCCUCUUGCUCUAUGCAAUCGGAGAGAUUGAGGUCUGCAGCGUAGAUCCUUCGGGGCUAGAUACAUUUGUGCUAAGUUAUAGCAUUUUAUAGACAACUUGUUGACUAUGAUUUAGUCUUGUGACUUACUCGCUUAUGUUAUUUUACCUACGCUUAGGAUGUUGACAGCAGUAUAGACUGU
rnacentral:rRNA from 1 species